UACAGAGGGUGCAAGCGUUGUUCGGAAUCAUUGGGCGUAAAGCGCACGUAGGCGGCCUGCUAAGUCGGAUGUGAAAGCCCAGGGCUCAACCCUGGAAGUGCAUUCGAAACUGGCGAGCUUGAAUGUCGGAGAGGGCAGUGGAAUUCCGAGUGUAGAGGUGAAAUUCGUAGAUAUUCGGAGGAACACCAGUGGCGAAGGCGACUGCCUGGACGAACAUUGACGCUGAGGUGCGAAAGCGUGGGGAGCAACAGG
rnacentral:rRNA from 1 species